rnacentral:rRNA from 1 species
CGGCCGCGUCGACGUAACGCGUAGGUAACCUGCCUGGGUAGCGGGGGAUAACUAUUGGAAACGAUAGCUAAUACCGCAUAACAUUGACUAUUGCAUGAUAGUCAAUUGAAAGGUGCAAAUGCACCACUAUCAGAUGGACCUGCGUUGUAUUAGCUAGUUGGUGGGUAACGGCUCACCAAGGCGACGAUACAUAGCCGACCUGAGAGGGUGAUCGGCCACACUGGGACUGAGACACGGCCCAGACUCCUACGGGAGGCAGCAGUAGGGAAUCUUCGGCAAUGGACGGAAGUCUGACCGAGCAACGCCGCGUGAGUGAAGAAGGUUUUCGGAUCGUAAAGCUCUGUUGUAAGAGAAGAACGAGUGUGAGAGUGGAAAGUUCACACUGUGACGGUAUCUUACCAGAAAGGGACGGCUAACUACGUGCCAGCAGCCGCGGUAAUACGUAGGUCCCGAGCGUUGUCCGGUAUUAGUUGGGUCGUAAAGCGAGCGGCGAGGCGGUUAGAGUAAGUCGUAGUAAGUUAAAGGUCGUGUGGCGUUAACGAUAGUUACCG